rnacentral:tRNA from 1 species
GGGGAUGUGGCUCAGUGGUAGAGCGCUUGCCUAGCAAGCACAAGAUCUUGGGUUCGGUCCCCAGCUCUG